UACGUAGGGUGCGAGCGUUUGUCCGGAAUUAUUGGGCGUAAAGAGCUCGUAGGCGGUCUGUCGCGUCUGCUGUGAAAUCCCGAGGCUCAACCUCGGGCUUGCAGUGGGUACGGGGCAGGCUAGAGUGCGGUAGGGGAGAAUGGAACUCCUGGUGUAGCGGUGGAAUGCGCAGAUAUCAGGAAGAACACCGAUGGCGAAGGCAGUUCUCUGGGGCCGUAACUGACGCUGAGGAGCGAAAAGCGUGGGGGAGCGAACAGG
rnacentral:rRNA from 1 species